rnacentral:misc_RNA from 1 species
AUCCAUAUCCCUAAAAGCCCAAGGCAAUGGAGAAAUUACCUCCUCUAUAGUAUCCGCAGAUGACGCAGGUGCUGGAGAAUGUAAGGGAGACUGGGUUACUGGUGUUUGCACCGCUGGUGCUGGGGUUUGCGAAGAGGACCUGGUCCUUUUGCUAACUGGUUCAGAGGACUGAGGUGGAGAGUUUAAGUCGAAAGGGACAGAGGGUACUCGUUUCCUUUUUCCGACAGGGGUUUCUUUGAGUCUACCAGCGGCCCUUUUUGUUUUCCCUUUUGUUUUUGUUUGGGUAGGAACAGGGUCAGGCGUUGGUUCUGGGGAAUGGGUGUCUGUAAUUGGUGUUUCAUUUGGCGGCUCGGAUUGCGGCGAGAGGGGAGUCGGCGGGAUGAGAGGUGGUAUUUGGCUUGGAGGCGGGGGCGGUGACUGAGGUGGUGGUGAUUGUGGUAAUGGCGGCGUUUGUGGCGGUGGGGACUGAGGUAAUGGCGGACUGGGGCUGGGGUUAGGG